rnacentral:rRNA from 1 species
GAUGAACGCUGGCGGCGUGCCUAAUACAUGCAAGUCGAGCGAACGGACGAGAAGCUUGCUUCUCUGAUGUUAGCGGCGGACGGGUGAGUAACACGUGGAUAACCUACCUAUAAGACUGGGAUAACUUCGGGAAACCGGAUCUAAUACCGGACAAUAUUUUGAACCGCAUGGUUCACAAGUGAAAGACGGUCUUGCUGUCACUUAUAGAUGGUUCCUCGCUGCAUUAGCUAGUUGGUAAGGUAACGGCUUACCAAGGCAACGAUGCAUAGCUGACCUGAGAGGGUGAUCGGCCACACUGGAACUGAGACACGGUCCAGACUCCUACGGGAGGCAGCAGUAGGGAAUCUUCCACAAAGGGCGAAAGCCUGACGGAGCAACGCCGCGUGAGUGAUGAAGGUCUUCGGAUCGUAAAACUCUGUUAUUAGGGAAGAACAUAUGUGUAAGAAAAUGUGCACAUCUUGACGGUACCGAAUCAGAAAGCCACGGCUAACUACGUG